rnacentral:rRNA from 1 species
UGACCGCUGGCGGCGUGCCUAAUACAUGCACGUCGAGCGACCAGAUAAGGAGCUUGCUCCUUUGACGUUAGCGGCGGACGGGUGAGUAACACGUGGAUAACCUACCUAUAAGACUGGGAUAACUUCGGGAAACCGGAGCUAAUACCGGAUAACAUAUUGAACCGCAUGGUUCAAUAGUGAAAGGCGGCUUUGCUGUCACUUAUAGAUGGAUCCGCGCCGUAUUAGCUAGUUGGUAAGGUAACGGCUUACCAAGGCAACGAUACGUAGCCGACCUGAGAGGGUGAUCGGCCACACUGGAACUGAGACACGGUCCAGACUCCUACGGGAGGCAGCAGUAGGGAAUCUUCCGCAAUGGGCGAAAGCCUGACGGAGCAACGCCGCGUGAGUGAUGAAGGUCUUCGGAUCGUAAAACUCUGUUAUCAGGGAAGAACAAAUGUGUAAGUAACUGUGCACAUCUUGACGGUACCUGAUCAGAAAGCCACGGCUAACUACGUG